GCCUUGUUAGCGCAGUAGGUAGCGCCGCCAACCUCAUAAUCUGAAGGUCGGGAGUUCAAUCCUCACACAGGGCA